GAUGAACGCUGUCGGCGUGCUUAACACAUGCAAGUCGAACGGAAAGGCCCAAGCUUGCUUGGUUACUCGAGUGGCGAACGGGUGAGUAACACGUGGGUGAUCUGCCCUGCACUUCGUGAUAAGCCUGGGAAACUGGGUCUAAUACCGGAUAGGACCACAUUUUGGAUGGUGUGGUGGAAAGUUUUUCGGUGUGGGGUGAGCUCGCGGCCUAUCAGCUUGUUGGUGGGGUAAUGGCCUACCAAGGCGUCGACGGGUAGCCGGCCUGAGAGGGUGUACGGCCACAUUGGGACUGAGAUACGGCACAGACUCCUACGGGAGGCAGCAGUGGGGAAUAUUGCACAAUGGGCGCAAGCCUGAUGCAGCGACGCCGCGUGGGGGAUGAAGGCCUUCGGGUUGUAAACUCCUUUCGCUAGGGACGAAGCGCAAGUGACGGUACCUGGAGAAGAAGCACCGGCUAACUACGUG
rnacentral:rRNA from 1 species